rnacentral:rRNA from 1 species
UACGUAGGGUGCGAGCGUUAAUCGGAAUUACUGGGCGUAAAGCGUGCGCAGGCGGUUCGUUAAGUUCGAUGUGAAAGCCCCGGGCUCAACUGGGGAGGGUCACUCGAUACUGAUCGACUUGAAGGCAGGAGAGGGAAGCGGAAUUCCCGGUGUAGUGGUGAAAUGCGUAGAUAUCGGGAGGAACACCAGUGGCGAAGGCGGCUUCCUGGCCUGUUCUUGACGCUGAGGCGCGAAAAGCUGAGGGGAGCAAACA